rnacentral:rRNA from 1 species
GAUGAACGCUGGCGGCGUGCCUAAUACAUGCAAGUCGAGCGAACGGACGAGAAGCUUGCUUCUCUGAUGUUAGCGGCGGACGGGUGAGUAACACGUGGAUAACCUACCUAUAAGACUGGGAUAACUUCGGGAAACCGGAGCUAAUACCGGAUAAUAUUUUGAACCGCAUGGUUCAAAAGUGAAAGACGGUCUUGCUGUCCCUUAUAGAUGGAUCCGCGCUGCAUUAGCUAGUUGGAAAGGUAACGGCUUACAAAGGCAACGAUGCAUAGCCGACCUGAGAGUGAGACCGGGCAUCCUGAAACUGAGACACAUUCCAAUCCCCCACGGGCGCAAGAAGCUGGGAUUCCUCAGACAGGGCGGAAGGCCUGAAGACGCACCUCCGCGUGAGUGAGGAAGGUAUUCGGAUUGUAAAACUCUGUAAUAAUGUAUGAACAUAUGUGAAAGUAGAUGUGAUCAUCUGGACGGUAUCUAAUAAGAAACCCACGGCUAUCUCCG